rnacentral:lncRNA from 1 species
UUAUCAUGGCAUCCAUCACAGGUACAUGUCUCUCUUCUUUCCUCUAUGUUCUCUCUUUUCUCGCUCUUCUCUGUCCUCUCCCUUCUCUCCUCCAUCUCUAAAAUUGAUCGGAUAGUUUUCAUUUUCUAGGGUAAUUUUGCUUCUCCUGCUGUUCUCUUUCAAUUCGGUAAGACAUCUAACUUCAGUUUACUUAUUUGUCAUUUCUUCAAUUUGUUCAUCCAUUUGUACUUGAUCAAAUCUGAUUUUGGUUAUAUUUGGUGAUUUUGGUGCUCAAUCAAUUUUGAUUUUGGUUAUAUAUGCACCACAUGUUUGAUGUAUUGAUGCUAUGAAUAUUAGAAUAGGGAAAACACAAAAGCCUAUUUUGUAAGAGGGAGGAUCAUAUUUUGUAAGAGCUUUUGGUAGUAUUUUAAUGAACACAUCUCACCUUCAAUGCAAAAUAACAAAGUUUUGAAGCUGCUCAUCUACAAUCUGCCUUCUUUUAACAUGUAAACUUAUACCAUUAUAACCAUUCGACCAAGUAUGGAAUCACCACUUUUAUUAUCUGUUUCUUUUAUCCAGUAGGCCAGUUAUUUGGCAUGCUGUGUUUAUAAGUGACAGAGUAUGUGCUAUCAAAUGGAAAUCAGCAUUAAAAAAUUAUACUAAAUUAAAAAUAAAGAAAAAGGCCUUGGGAAUAUCCUCAUCAAGAUGAAGCAAAACCCGUUGAUAGUUGAAAUUCUCUGCCAUGACCAUUUUAUAGCAUAUCUGAUACUGCACUUGCAGCAAACAUUAAUAUGUAAACAGAAACAAAACAUGUACUCCAUAUAUAGUUGAAAGUAAAACAAAUCCUUAAUGACAAACAUCGAAUAUUGCACUUACAAAUACAUUAGAGGUUGCUAAAUCUCUAUUCUAAUGUUUAAAUCAAUAUUGAAGUAAAGUACAACUAUAGAAAGGGUACUGAUAUGUUUCUUCUGCAUAUGUUUCCAUAUAUUUAGGCUUUGCUCUUUGCGGGGCCUCCAAAAGCUAUCAGGCAACCCAUGAGAUUAUGAUUCCUAUGAUGUUGCUGUAGUUUACGUUUCAAAUUUCUCUGCUUUUCCUUAAUUUCAGUUGAUGAUAACUUCUCUGUUGGUAUUGAGAUAAACAUGUCCCUUAAUUCCUCUGUAACGUCAAAAUCUUCAAGAACCUACAGACAUUUUACAAAUUAUUAUAAAUGGCAUAUGCUAAUGUACCAGGACACGAAAGAAGUAAAAAAGAGGAGUGCUUUAAAAGCUUCAGCUAAUGCAGCCAAAUUAACCUUGAAAACUCCAUCCACAUUUCGACCACCCACAACGAAAGAACAUCCUGUAUUUUAGCAGCCAAGCGGUAUCUCUAACAUCUUGCCAUAAUCACCACCAUAAUAUUUGGCCUGCAAACCAAUCGGUAACUACUAUUACUUUUGUUCUUAAUAUGUUAACUUUUGUCAUGGUAUAAUUCUUAGCUCUUGCUGCCUCAUCUUUUGUAUAUGCCCACUACCCAUCCGGUGCUUGUUUUCAUUUUUAGUGUAGACCUUUAGGCUAUGUUUAUACUUGGGAUAGGACUAUCAAUCCCAAGUGUCUUGUUUGUUUUUAAAUUUAGACUUGAGACUAUUAGUCUAGGGAUUAUAAAAUGACUUAAUGUCUUUAGAUUAUACUCCCUCCAUUCCUUAAUAUAAGUCGUUUUAGAAAAUUAUUUUUGUUCCUUAAUAUAAGUCGUUUAAGAAUUUCAAGUAAGCAUUAAUUGCUUAGUUUCCAAUAUUACCCCAAAUAAUAAAUAUAACUUUGGUUUUCUUACUAUUUUUUGCCCAAUAAAUAACAUUCUUUUUUCAAUAUAAGGGCAAUAUAGACAAUUGAUAUUAUAUUUAAUGUUAUACAAUCAUUUCCUUAAUACUUGUGCACAACUCAAAAACGACUUAUAUUAAAGAACGGAGGGAGUAAUUAUAAUUCCGGGAUUAUAAUCCUAAGAUUAAUAGUUUUGGGAUUAUAAUCUCAUGGAUUAUAAUACCGGGAUUAUAAUCUUUGCAAACAAACAUAGCCCUAAAGUCCUGAGUAGACUAAGAUCUGGCAUAUAUAUAUAUAUAUAUAUAUAUAUAUAUAUAUAUAUAUAUAGGCUAGCAUACUUCAAAUAAUUUGACCCGUCAAUUAGAUUAGAGUUGGGGAUUGCAUUUGAGAUUAUUGUUCCAUUUUCUUUUCUUUUUUGGGUUGGACAUUAUUGUUCAUAUUUUUGAGACAUAGUUAUUGUAGGUUAAGAGUGGGGGAGGAUGAGCAUGUGUGAUAUCUCCAACGAAUGGUUUGUUCUCCUGUCUGAGGCAUGCAUACCUCUUCACAACUUUAUAGUUUAUCACUACAUAUCAAGAUCUCGGUUCAGCUUUAUGGAUGCAUAUGAUGACCCUGGACCCUAUGGAAGAGGGCGCUAUAAUGACAACAUGGUUCACGUGGUUAACAUCACUCAAUGGCGCUAAGGGUCUCAGUGGUUUGAAAUUAAUUGAAAACUGACAUUUAACAUUGUUGAAGAUGAUACUUGUUACCCAAAGUUUGAGUAGUUCUGCAGACCAGCUUGUUAUGUGGACGAGCACUACUUUCCAACCAUGUUGAGCAUCCAUUUGCCCCGCCUCUUGGCAAACAGGAGCAUUACCUAUGUGGACAGUGGACUGGUCUAGAGAUGGUGCACAUCCUGCUACAUUUGGAAAAGCCGAUAUGACAACAAUUUUAAGAAAAUUCUCCAAGCUCAAACAUGGAGCUGUAAUAACCAGCAUCUUCAGCUCUAAUAACUAACCAUUCGUUGAAAAUAAUUGUUUGUUGGUGCAUAUGAUAUUACUUUUUGUUUAUUUCUAUAUAUGAUUUGUGUUGGCUUUAAGGCUUUUUUUUUUCAUAAAGGUGUUUAUUUGAAUUUUAAAUACAUAAAAAUAUAUUAAAAAAUAUUUUUCUAGCGAAGAUGUUAAAAGUUCUAUUUAAUUUUUUUUUUAUAAGUUUGUAGACUGGUAUAUAAAAAAACAAAACAGAUCAUUUCACAUUUUAUUAAACAGUUAAAGUAGAAUGGUGAUUUUAUUCUCGACAGAAUGAAUGAACAAACCAAACACAAAAAUUAAAUGACCAUUACAUUCCCAUUCUUUUCUUUAAGCCAUUCCAUUCCUUAAGUCAUUCUAUUCCAUACAUGCCAAGGAAUGAGAACCAAACAUAGUCCUAGUACUUCAGCACACAAACAUAUAUACAAAACCAAGAAGCAUAUAUAGAAUAGAAACAUAAAAAGGGGGGAAAUGGUUACUUAUUGUCAUGGAAUAUACAUUUCCCAAGAAUUUUCUGCACAAUAAGCUUCAUGAAGAUGAUAAUGGCUCACCAAUUUGUAUAUUUUCAGGAAGCAUGAUUCCUUCAGAGAAGAUGAACCUAUUGGAUGCACCAAAGAUGUUAGCUACUUGAAGCACUGCCAUUUGAGAUACAGCAGUCAUUGGCAAGACUGCGUCGGGGAGGCAAGGGAUACAUUCAGGAAGAUAUUCUUUCUUAUUAAAAGUUGGAGCAUAUAAUGUUAAAACUGUCUGACAAAAUAUAAACCUGCAAAAGUGAAAAAUUAAUUUACAAAUGUGUCAUCUUCGGAUUCAUAUAAAGAUACAUGAGAAACAUAUAGCAAACUAAUUCAAGAAAGUUAGCAAAUUAACGUAUGGAAGUUGCACUGCCAUUUGGGAGUGCAUGUUUCUAGUUACUUAUUAACUUCUCUCAAUGCCACAAAAUUUAUGAGCUUUUCUUUUUCAAAUGUAAUUUCUAUGUAAAUGCAUUCAACAGGAAAAAGAUAAAACAAUCCCUCUCUAUACAAAAGCGUCCUAAUUAUUUGCUUAGAAGAUCUCGAAAAUAGUUGAAAUUCUAAAAGCUAAGUUAUCCACAAAAAAGAAAGAGAGAGAGAGAG